CUUUCAUGGAGAGUUUGAUCUUGGCUCAGGACGAACGCUGGCGGCGUGCCUAAUACAUGCAAGUCGAGCGCAUGCACCCGGCGGACCUCUUCGGAGGAAAACCGGGGAAUUGAGCGGCGGACGGGUGAGUAACACGUGGGCAACCUGCCCUCUAGACGGGGAUAACUCCGGGAAACCGGAGCUAAUACCCGAUAAUCAAGCAGAUCACCUGAUCUGCUUGUAAAAGCAUGGCCUUCGGGCCAUGCAC
rnacentral:rRNA from 1 species